CAAGUCGAACGGUAACAGGCCCGCAAGGGUGCUGACGAGUGGCGGACGGGUGAGGAAUACAUCGGAAUUUGCCCAGUCGUGGGGGAUAACGUAGGGAAACUUACGCUAAUACCNCAUACGACCGAGAGGUGAAAGCGGGGGAUCCGUAAGGACCUCGCGCGAGUGGAUGAGCCGAUGUCGGAUUAGCUAGUUGGUAGGGUAAAGGCCUACCAAGGCGACGAUCCGUAGCUGGUCUGAGAGGAUGAUCAGCCACACUGGGACUGAGACACGGCCCAGACUCCUACGGGAGGCAGCAGUGGGGAAUAUUGGACAAUGGGGGCAACCCUGAUCCAGCAAUGCCGCGUGUGUGAAGAAGGCCUUCGGGUUGUAAAGCACUUUUAUCGGGAACGAAACAUUGUCGGUGAAUAUCCGGCAAGACUGACGGUACCCGAGGAAUAAGCACCGGCUAACUUCGUGCCAGCAGCCGCGGUAAUACGAAGGGUGCAAGCGUUACUCGGAAUUACUGGGCGUAAAGCGUGCGUAGGUGGUUUUUUAAGUCCGUUGUGAAAGCCCUGGGCUCAACCUGGGAAUGGCAGUGGAUACUGGAAGGCUAGAGUGCGGUAGAGGGUAGUGGAAUUCCCGGUGUAGCAGUGAAAUGCGUAGAGAUCGGGAGGAACACCAGUGGCGAAGGCGGCUACCUGGACCAGCACUGACACUGAGGCACGAAAGCGUGGGGAGCAACAGGAUUAGAUACCCUGGUAUCCACGCCCU
rnacentral:rRNA from 1 species